UAUGGUAAUGUGCAGCAGCCGCGGUAAUACGUAGGUGGCGAGCGUUGUCCGGAAUUAUUGGGUUUAAAGGGAGCGCAGACGGGUCGUUAAGUCAGCUGUGAAAGUUUGGGGCUCAACCUUAAAAUUGCAGUUGAUACUGGCGUCCUUGAGUGCGGUUGAGGUGUGCGGAAUUCGUGGUGUAGCGGUGAAAUGCUUAGAUAUCACGAAGAACUCCGAUUGCGAAGGCAGCACACUAAGCCGUAACUGACGUUCAUGCUCGAAAGUGUGGGUAUCAAACAGG
rnacentral:rRNA from 1 species